GGCCCCGUAGCUCAUCCGGAUAGAGCGACGGUUUCCUAAACCGUAGGCAGCUGGUUCGAGUCCAGCCGGGGUCACCA
rnacentral:tRNA from 1 species